rnacentral:rRNA from 1 species
AGAGUUUGAUCCUGGCUCAGGACGAACGCUGGCGGCGUGCCUAAUACAUGCAAGUCGAGCGAGCUUGCCUAGAUGAUUUUAGUGCUUGCACUAAAUGAAACUAGAUACAAGCGAGCGGCGGACGGGUGAGUAACACGUGGGUAACCUGCCCAAGAGACUGGGAUAACACCUGGAAACAGAUGCUAAUACCGGAUAACAACACUAGACGCAUGUCUAGAGUUUGAAAGAUGGUUCUGCUAUCACUCUUGGAUGGACCUGCGGUGCAUUAGCUAGUUGGUAAGGUAACGGCUUACCAAGGCAAUGAUGCAUAGCCGAGUUGAGAGACUGAUCGGCCACAUUGGGACUGAGACACGGCCCAAACUCCUACGGGAGGCAGCAGUAGGGAAUCUUCCACAAUGGACGAAAGUCUGAUGGAGCAACGCCGCGUGAGUGAAGAAGGGUUUCGGCUCGUAAAGCUCUGUUGGUAGUGAAGAAAGAUAGAGGUAGUAACUGGCCUUUAUUUGACGGUAAUUACUUAGAAAGUCACGGCUAACUACGUGCCAGCAGCCGCGGUAAUACGUAGGUGGCAAGCGUUGUCCGGAUUUAUUGGGCGUAAAGCGAGUGCAGGCGGUUCAAUAAGUCUGAUGUGAAAGCCUUCGGCUCAACCGGAGAAUUGCAUCAGAAACUGUUGAACUUGAGUGCAGAAGAGGAGAGUGGAACUCCAUGUGUAGCGGUGGAAUGCGUAGAUAUAUGGAAGAACACCAGUGGCGAAGGCGGCUCUCUGGUCUGCAACUGACGCUGAGGCUCGAAAGCAUGGGUAGCGAACAGGAUUAGAUACCCUGGUAGUCCAUGCCGUAAACGAUGAGUGCUAAGUGUUGGGAGGUUUCCGCCUCUCAGUGCUGCAGCUAACGCAUUAAGCACUCCGCCUGGGGAGUACGACCGCAAGGUUGAAACUCAAAGGAAUUGACGGGGGCCCGCACAAGCGGUGGAGCAUGUGGUUUAAUUCGAAGCAACGCGAAGAACCUUACCAGGUCUUGACAUCUUUUGACAAUCCUAGAGAUAGGACUUUCCCUUCGGGGACAAAAUGACAGGUGGUGCAUGGUUGUCGUCAGCUCGUGUCGUGAGAUGUUGGGUUAAGUCC